AGAGUUUGAUCCUGGCUCAGAAUCAACGCUGGCGGCGCGCUUAACACAUGCAAGUCGAACGGGAAAGUGGGCAACCAUGAGUACAGUGGCGUACGGGUGAGUAACACGUGGGUAAUCUACCUCUUAGUGGGGAAUAACCCUGGGAAACCGGGGCUAAUACCGCAUGAGCCUGAGAAGGGAAAGCAGCAAUGCGCUGAGAGAGGAGCCCGCGGCCGAUUAGCUAGUUGGGAGGGUAAAGGCCUACCAAGGCAGAGAUCGGUAGCCGGCCUGAGAGGGCACACGGCCACACUGGCACUGAAACACGGGCCAGACUCCUACGGGAGGCAGCAGUGGGGAAUCUUGCACAAUGGGGGAAACCCUGAUGCAGCGACGCCGCGUGAGCGAUGAAGCCCUUCGGGGUGUAAAGCUCUUUCGUCAGGGAAGAUGAUGACGGUACCUGGAGAAGCAGCUGCGGCUAACUACGUGCCAGCAGCCGCGGUAAUACGUAGGCAGCGAGCGUUGUUCGGAGUUACUGGGCGUAAAGGGUGUGUAGGCGGUUCUUUAAGUUUGGUGUG
rnacentral:rRNA from 1 species